UCUAAUAUUGCUUUCUUCCUGUGUGGGUAUCCCAAACCAAACAAACAACCCAUUCUGUUUUUCAACUGUUUAAACUACUUUUCAUAGCCCCCUCCAUUGAACCAAUUCCAAAACAUUCAAUUUUUCACCAUGUUUCAUUGAAUCACCACAUCAAAUCACCAUAAUAUGCACCUUUACUCUGUUUUCAAAUCUCUGUUCUUCUUCCUCCUCGGUUUUGACUAAUGUCUAUUUGCUAUUUCCUUCUCUGUUGUGUCAAUUCAAGUCCUUUCUUACAUCAGCAUUUUGCAGGGGAAACCUGUCAAAAGUCAAAACCAUAAAACCUGUUAAGUUAGUUAGUUAGAUUUAGAAAAAUGAACUAUCUAUACCCAGUGAAAGAAGAGUACUUGGAGUUUGAACCAACAUCAUCAGCAUCUCACAGUCACAGUGGAGGUGAUGAUCAAUCAAUGGUGGUUGCUCCACGGCCAAUGGAGGGGCUUCAUGAGGUGGGGCCACCCCCAUUUCUGACCAAGACAUUUGAUGCAGUGGAGGACCCCACAACCAGCCAUAUAGUUUCAUGGAGCAGGGGAGGUGCUAGUUUUGUGGUUUGGGAUCCACACACUUUCUCCAGGGAACUUCUUCCUAGAUACUUCAAGCACAACAACUUCUCAAGCUUUGUCAGACAACUAAACACUUAUGGCUUUAGAAAAAUUGAUCCAGAUAGAUGGGAGUUUGCAAAUGAAGGGUUCUUCAGAGGGCACAGGCACCUGUUAGCAAACAUAAGGAGAAGGAAGCACCCUUCUCAGCCAACACCUUCCCAACAACAAGCACCAGAUCACUGUGUUGAAGCUGGUCGUUUCGGAUUGGAUGAAGAAAUCGAUCGUUUGAGGCGUGACAAGCAAGUUUUGAUGAUGGAGCUUGUGAAGCUCAGACACCAGCAACAGAACACAAGAUCAUACCUUCAAGAAAUGGAGGAAAGGUUAAGAGGGACAGAAAUUAAGCAGCAACAAAUGAUGGCUUUCUUAGCUAGAGCAAUGCAAAAUCCAGCUUUCAUUCAGCAGCUACUCCAACAGAAGCAGAAGAGAAAGGAGCUUGAAGAGGCCAUGACUAAGAAGAGGAGAAGGCCAAUUGAGCAUGGAACUUGUGCUAGUGGUGUUGGGGGAUCAAGAAGCAGUGUUAAAGUUGAAGUUCCAGCUUUUGGGGAAUUUGGAUUCGGUGUGUCAGAGCUGGAAGUGUUAGCCAUGGAAAUGCAAGGUUUUGGUAGAGGGAGGAGAGAACAAGAGGAAGAGCCUGAGGCACUAGAGCAUCAAGAGAGAGCUGAGAGGUUGGAUAAAGAACUUGAUGAAGGGUUCUGGGAAGAACUUUUCAGUGAGAAUUUUCAUGGAGAAUUAGACAUUCCUACGUCUCAAGGGGAAGAUGAUGACGAUGUCAAUGUGUUGGUGAAUCGCUUCGGUUACUUGGGUUCAAGUCCUAAAUGAAAUUAAGUGUUUGUUUGGAAAUUUGUCUACAAUUGAUUAUGAACCUAAUUAGUUUUAGGGAGAAACUUCUCAUAGUAGCUUCUGGCUGCCAGAAUUGAUUUUGAGGAAAGAAAAACUGAACCAAACAUUCGAGCUUGCUUCAGAGAGGGUAUUGAUAGGGUGGAGUCAUCACAUUUGGCAAGCUAGAAGGACCACAAUCAGAAUAUCUGAGGAAACCAUUUGAUUUAGCAGUGUUUCUAACUCUCUCCUUUUGUGGCACUUGUUAAAACCUUUGUUUCUUGUUUUUCUCUAUGUUUGAUUAGGUAGGUUGCAGCUGUUGCUUGGACAAGAAUCUGUGCUAGUGAUAGCAAUCAUUAUUUGCUCAAGAUAGUUCAGAUGCUGAAAGUGUAGAAUGGAUACAAAGUAGCUGAUCUUCAAGAAUCAUAACUGAAAGUUGCUUUUGAAUCAAGAGCCAGUUGAUGUCGGUAUCUUCAUGUGUUAAUGAUUCCGUUCCCAUUUGGAAACAAACAACCAAAGAAACAUUUGAUGGCUCUCAAAGUGAAACGUGUCAAGAUGAUUGAUCAGCCAAUGAAAUUGAUAAUCUUCUGUUGGUGUAGUCUCUCCUCCUACUAGUGUCAAGCUUACAUAGUCACAUAUUUAUUGGACCAAUCUUAUCUUGGGCUGAGAUGGACUCUAGCGACCUUAAUUACCUCAUAUAGCUGUGAGCCAUGGGAUAAUAGUCACAAAUUUAAGUCAUGAAAAUUGCCUAGAUAAGGUUGUUCAAUUUAACUCAUGAAAAUAGCUUUGAUAAGGUUGUUAAAAUGUGUACUAGCACUCAUUUGCACUUAUGUCAAUAGAUAUUUAAACAUAAUCUAAAUCAUUCAGUCAUUGGUCACAAGAAAAAACCACAAAGACUCAAAAGGUCACCAUGCUAUCAAAAUAGCUUAUGCUCGGACCUAAGAUAAUCAAAGACCUGACUAUGACAAGGUCUCAAAGACUAGUGUAAAUGAAAUUGAAAUUAUUAUGACAGUC